UCGCGGGUGACUGCGAAUCUGAAGGAAGCCCGAGGCAAAAAUGCUGGCCUGACGAACAGGAAGCGGAUUAGGCGGUGCAGCGGGGUAAGGUAGCCAAAAUUGCCAAAGCCCAAUACUUGCACGGAACGCUGUGACGUAGAUCCGACAGGCAUAAGCAGGAAGGUCGCGCGA
rnacentral:ncRNA from 1 species